AUUAUAGAUGAUGAGGAAGUUGUAAAUCAGAUCUUGAAUGGCCUUGAUUACGAGUACAACCCUUUUGUGUCUUCUGUUCUUGGGCGAGCUGAUCCGACUUCCUUGGAUGAGCUCUAUGCCCAAUUAUUGGCAUAUGAUG